rnacentral:rRNA from 1 species
AGUGAACGCUGGCGGUAGGCCUAACACAUGCAAGUCGAACGGCAGCACAGUAAGAGCUUGCUCUUACGGGUGGCGGGUGGCGGACGGGUGAGGAAUACAUCGGAAUCUACUUUUUCGUGGGGGAUAACGUAGGGAAACUUACGCUAAUACCGCAUACGACCUACGGGUGAAAGCAGGGGAUCUUCGGACCUUGCGCGAUUGAAUGAGCCGAUGUCGGAUUAGCUAGUUGGCGGGGUAAAGGCCCACCAAGGCGACGAUCCGUAGCUGGUCUGAGAGGAUGAUCAGCCACACUGGAACUGAGACACGGUCCAGACUCCUACGGGAGGCAGCAGUGGGGAAUAUUGGACAAUGGGCGCAAGCCUGAUCCAGCCAUACUGCGUGGGUGAAGAAGGCCUUCGGGUUGUAAAGCCCUUUUGUUGGGAAAGAAAAGCAGCAGGUUAAUACCCCGCUGUUCUGACGGUACCCAAAGAAUAAGCACCGGCUAACUUCGUG